GCACUGCCCUCGCUUCCUGUGAGUCUUCAGGUCGCCGCUUGCUCUCGUUCCUAGGGUUUGGCCUGCAGUGGACGAGCAUCGCAUAGCCUGCGGGGCUGGAUGCUGACCGCCCGGGCCAGCACCUAGGCGGACGCGGAGCUGUGCAGACCAGGGUUCGCGCGGGCCGGGUGGAGGCUCAAGCGGGGACCCCGGAGCGUGAGCCCCGGAGUCGGCGGCGCUGGGGCCAGAGGGGCCGGGAGGGAGUCGGCUGAGGUGGCGGCGGAGGCGAAGUGGCGGCGGAGGCGAAGGGGCGGCGGGACCCGGGCCUGGCCCGUAUGUGUCCUUGGCGGCCUAGACUAGGCCGUCGCUGUAUGGUGAGCCCCAGGGAGGCGGAUCUGGGCCCCCAGAAGGACACCCGCCUGGAUUUGCCCCGUAGGCCCGGCCCGGGCCCCUCGGGAGCAGAACAGCCUUGGUGAGGUGGACAGGAGGGGACCUCGCGAGCAGACGCGCGCGCCAGCGACAGCAGCCCCGCCCCGGCCUCUCGGGAGCCGGGGGGCAGAGGCUGCGGAGCCCCAGGAGGGUCUAUCAGCCACAGUCUCUGCAUGUUUCCAAGAGCAACAGGAAAUGAACACAUUGCAGGGGCCAGUGUCAUUCAAAGAUGUGGCUGUGGAUUUCACCCAGGAGGAGUGGCGGCAACUGGACCCUGAUGAGAAGAUAGCAUACGGGGAUGUGAUGUUGGAGAACUACAGCCAUCUAGUUUCUGUGGGGUAUGAUUAUCACCAAGCCAAACAUCAUCAUGGAGUGGAGGUGAAGGAAGUGGAGCAGGGAGAGGAGCCGUGGAUAAUGGAAGGUGAAUUUCCAUGUCAACAUAGUCCAGUACAGAACCUGCUAAGGCCAUCAAACCUAUUGAUCGGAAGUCAGUCCAUCAGAUUUGCUCUGGGCCAGUGGUACUGAGUCUAAGCACUGCAGUGAAGGAGUUAGUAGAAAACAGUCUGGAUGCUGGUGCCACUAAUAUUGAUCUAAAGCUUAAGGACUAUGGAGUGGAUCUCAUUGAAGUUUCAGACAAUGGAUGUGGGGUAGAAGAAGAAAACUUUGAAGGCUUAAUCUCUUUCAGCUCUGAAACAUCACACAUGUAAGAUUCAAGAGUUUGCCGACCUAACUGAAGUUGAAACUUUCGGUUUUCAGGGGGAAGCUCUGAGCUCACUGUGUGCACUGAGCGAUGUCACCAUUUCUACCUGCCACGCGUCGGUGAAGGUUGGGACUCGACUGGUGUUUGAUCACGAUGGGAAAAUCAUCCAGGAAACCCCCUACCCCCACCCCAGAGGGACCACAGUCAGCGUGAAGCAGUUAUUUUCUACGCUACCUGUGCGCCAUAAGGAAUUUCAAAGGAAUAUUAAGAAGACGUGCCUGCUUCCCCUUCGCCUUCUGCCGUGAUUGUCAGUUUCCUGAGGCCUCCCCAGCCAUGCUUCCUGUACAGCCUGCAGAACUGUGAGUCAAUUAAACCUCUUUUCUUCAUAAAUUA